rnacentral:lncRNA from 1 species
UAAAAUACUACUGCUAUCUGAUUACUGGUCGUCCAUAAGAAUUGUCUGGCAAACAUUUUUUUUUUAACUUCCAUUACCAGACUGGUGAUCUAAAAAGCCCUUACAUCUUUUCCUUUUUUGCAAGAGUACAACUCGGGACACACACCACAACGUACGUGCACGUCCCUACUACACGCUUAGGAUUUUGGGAUGCGCACGCGUGUGAGGGCAAAAUCCCCGGAUGAGACACACGAGUUGCAAUCUCAGGAAUCGAACUCACGCGGGUUGCUGGCAUGCCCGCGCAGCUAACCACCCGAGCUAGGCUCGGU